rnacentral:rRNA from 1 species
UACGUAGGGUGCAAGCGUUGUCCGGAAUUAUUGGGCGUAAAGAGCUCGUAGGCGGUGUGUCGCGUCGGCCGUGAAAACCUGGGGCUCAACUCUGGGCGUGCGGUCGAUACGGGCAUCACUUGAGUUCGGCAGGGGAGACUGGAAUUCCUGGUGUAGCGGUGAAAUGCGCAGAUAUCAGGAGGAACACCGGUGGUGUAGACGGCUUUCUGGACCGACACUGACGUGAGACACGAAAGCGUGGGUAGCAAACAGG